rnacentral:rRNA from 1 species
GACGAACGCUGGCGGCGUGCUUAACACAUGCAAGUCGAACGGAAAGGCCCUCCUUCCCUUGUGGGUUGCGGGUACUCCAGUGGCGAACGGGUGAGUAACACGUGCGUUAUCUUCCCCCAACUUUGGUAUAAGCCUGGGAAACUGGGUCUUAUUCCCGCUUGGUCCGCAGGGGGGGUUCUGGGGUUGAAAACGAUUUUCUUGGGGUUGGGGAUGAGCUCGCGGCCUAUCAGCUUGUUGGUUGGGUAAUGGCCUACCAAGGCGGCGACGGGUAGCCGGCCCGGGAGGGUGGACGGCCACAUUGGGACUGAGAUACGGCCCAGACUACUACGGGAGGCAGCAGUGGGGAAUAUUGCACAAUGGGCGGAAGCCUGAUGCAGCGACGCCGAGUGGGGGAUGACGGCCUUCGGGUUGUAAACUCCUUUCGACCGCGAGGAAGCCACCUGGUUGGAAGGGUGGUGACGGUAGUGGUAGAAGAAGCACCGGCUAACUACGUG